ACUCGGCAGGUCUAGUCUGGCAGACUUACUGUCGUUGUGUGUGAAGAUAUAGAUGUAAAGGUGUUAUUUCUUUGGAGGACUCUAUUAAGCUUAAACGAGUAACGAUUUCAUUUUAUCUUUGAAUUAUUUUGUGGGAAGAACCAGUUUCCAAACAGGCCUUCUUUUUUUAAGUCGUACGUGAUUUGUAAGUGUAGCCUACGAAGGUGAAAUCUUUUAACUUUCAGAAGAGAAUUGCUGGACUGCUUUAUACCAAGCCAGCAUUUUAAAUUUGAAGGCUUAAAACUGUAUUUUAAGUACUGCUACCUGAUAAUCUAACUGUGGACGACCUUAGAUGAAUCUACCUACAGCAAGCUUUUCCCAAAAAGUCGGUUUGGACAAAUCACUUUUAAAGAGCUAAGUUCUAACAAGAUGAAUUCACAAAGGACCUGUACGAAGGAAGUUUAUUUGGGAGACUAUUGCGAAUUUCCGGUUGUGUACCUAUUAAACAUCGGAAACUGAAGAUAACUCCAAGAUGGAAUCAACCAGAGCACUGGGCAACCAAUCUACUGGUACCCUCAAGGUCAUCGGACGGCACCAAUUUCGAAUAGGGCGUGCAUAGAUUGCUUCCGACAAUAUCAACCCAAAGAUACUGGACAUGGCAAAACAAGGUUUAAUUUAAAUACAGUUUUAGUAGAUUCUGAAGAUGGGGCUGUGUAUUACUAUAAUUAUUUAGUUGUAAAAUAAUCUUCAAAGUAACCUAUCAUGCCAGGACAUUCUAACAGGAAAUCAGGUUAAGUAAAUUAUUUCCAAACAUUAGUACCUUAAAUUUUUUGUUUUAAAGUUUAAUUCUAAAUUUAGAUGCACCAUACUUUUGUAGGGCCUAGAAGUGAUAAUGAACCCCACCAACUGAUUAAUGUACUUUGAAAUAUAUUGGAAAGUAUUUAGAAAUCAAUAAGUAUUGCGUAAGUAUGGACUAACUAAAAAAUUAUCUUUAUAGCUACAUGUGUAUAUUGUGGCGAUACUUGAGUGAAGAUAAAGGCUUUGGCAAGUAAUUGUUGUGGCUUUAUUAUAUGCCAUACUGAAGCAUCAAUUACCAGUGGGGAGUAGACUGCUGUGAAUUAUACCGAUUCUGAGACCUUGUAUAUUUCAUUAAUUUUUCCAUGUAAAAGCAAAAUAACUAGGUUGGAUUAUGUUAUUUAAUCAGUCUUUAAAAAUGCAAGUUUAAGAAAAGCAAGUUCAACUCGGAACUCUUUUGAAGUGCAUUUGUCAUUUUGUUUAGAAAGACUUUGCCUUAUCAAAGAGGUAACGAGUAUUAACCUCGUCUGUGUGAACACCAUUGUUUCAAAAAUAUUUUUCAGUUUGAUCAACUUUUGUUUGUUUAAAGUUCAGGGUACAAUGCCAGGUUUAUAAUUUUAUAAAACUUGAUAGUUGUUUCCGUAGAUAGUUCUAUAAAACUUGAGAUAGUCGUAUUGUUUUCGUGCAUGUAAAUAUUUUUGCAACUACUUUAUGUACAUUAAUUAAGUAGCUGAAAGCCAUAAUUUUUAUCUAUUCCUUAUAUCCUAAAUGUUAAGCUUUCAAAUUUAUGCUUUCAGGUGGAAGAAAACUAAUACUAGUAAGCUGCUCCAACACCACUGAUAGUAAUUAUACCAAAAAAGAUUUAAUGUGUAAAUCAAUGUUUUUUUUUGUCAAAUCUGUAACAAUUUCCUCCAAACAAAAUAGUAUUUGCGGGGAGGAUCUUAAUGUCAAUAAGGAUGCCUGACCUUUCCUUUUUAUGUGGAUGCCAGACUUAAAUCAAUCUACUUGUUAAUCUAUAGGUUUGCCAGUAUUUGUGCGACAGCUUCUGACAUUUUCCUUAAACCAUACUACCUUAGGAUGUGAGGCUCUAACCAGGAUAGAUUUCAUACAGUUAGGUUAUUAUAUUAAACUUUUAUCAUUCAUAUAAAGGUUAAGGUACUAAUUAGUGACAAAACCCAUCAGCCUAGCGUGCAUCCAGUCUCCUUGACGUAUUUUCAGUGAAGUUGAUUACAGAGGUGUUUAGGUUCUAAAUGAUGCUUCAGACUCCCACUCCUUAAAUGAGUGUGGUCUUAACGGCUUCCGAGUUUUAUAUCUAAGAAGGUUCCAGCGAUUUAGAGCAAAUAGUUUGUCCAUACUCAGUAAUUUGAAUUUUAUAUUCAUAAAUGAAAAUUUUAAUCAAGAAAAAUUCAGUAGCCUCGUUGUAUCAAAAUUCAAUAUUUGAACGCUUUCAGUCAGUCGAUUUAUAAAUUAGUAAACUUUGCUGACGACAAUGGCAGUUAUUUUAUGGUUUUUGCCACCUUCUUGCGAUUGUCUUAUGCACACUAAAACCAAGUGAGGAACGAAAAAAUUUAGACCCUAAGGAGGUAUAAACCCGCUCAUAGAAUCUGAAGAAAAAGGAAAUUCCUAUUAUUACCUCUUGACUGUUUUAGUUAAUAUGCUUCAGUGUUAUUGUCAACUUUAGUGCUAUGCUUCAUACACCCUCUACAAUUUGUGUCAGUUUCUGUAACGUCUUUAUUGGAGUUUAAGAAUUUGAGAUUAAGGUACUUGAAAAUGCCUACAGCUCAUUUAAAAUAGCACCAAAUGACAAAUUGCACAGAGUAAAAGAUGUUCAGCAUUCCAAAAUCUCCCUGCAAAGUACUUAUCUGACCAGUUGACAUCAAUUUGCCAUCAUCUGCCAUUUUUUUUUCCUGCUGAACUUAACUUUUUCCAAAGACGUACCCAGUUGAACAGUGGCACGCAGCACUGCUCUCCCAUAGUUCUUGAGAUGGCUGUAGUGCGGCGCUCCUCUCAAAACCUCACUUCCUAAGACUGCCGCCGUACGUCACCCCGAUCUAAUCGCAUAAAUAUUAAUUCCAACCAACCACAUACCAGGUCGUCCCAAGUCAUUCCCUAAAGCCAUGGAUUAAAUACAUUUAACUCAAAAUGUGUGUGUGGACGAUUUUAAUUCCUAUGCCUGCUUUUACAUUUCAAUUUUACUGUAAUUUCUCCAUAAUUACAGAUGAAUUCAGUGGCUGUUUGUGUACCUAUUCAACAUCAGAAGCAGAAGAUUCCUCCAAGAUGGAAUCAACCAGAGCACUGGAUCUACAUGUGGUGAGACUGGUACCCUCAUGGUCUUUGGACAACAGUGAUUUUGAGUAAGAUUUACUGGAGGACUGCAGCGCCUGUUGUAACCCUGAGAACAUGGGCUAAGUAGUACCAUAGCCCUACGCUCACUAACUAGAAUGCAAUGGGCUGAUGGAACUGAAAGAGUUGCGAAUUCAAGAUAUGGCAUGCACAUAUUCGUCGGAUCAUCCUUAGUAUGAAACUGUAAAAUCCGAGUUAUCCACGCCAGAAGAUUUCCCCAAGAUAUGGUAGUUUUACAAAACUUCUUAAUUUGUGGUGCUCUUAUUCUCAUGGCUAUAAUCUUUCAACCAAGAAGGCCCUUGCCAUAAAAAAUUUACUCUGCCUGGCUUGGGACUCUUAAGGAAAUUUUCUUUCGUCAAAUUCAUUGGCAGCUUAAAUAUUUAUUCAAAUCUAAAUUGUAUAUAAAGUCAGUAUAUUUAUAUAUGCUAUUAAAAUUUCCAUUCAGUAUCCAAAUAUUCCAAUCAAAUCCAGAAAUUUUCAAACCAAUCAAUUCAGUGAUAUUCCUAAAUACAAGUCAGUGCAAUAUUAUAUUUUAUAUAAGACAUUUGCAAUCUGAAAAUUUAUGGAUAUAAACUCCAUUAUGAAAGGAUGGUUUCCAAUUCGAGAAUUUAAAAUACAAAUUUAAAUUCAUAUUUUUAUUUGAAAAUUGAAUAACUUCCCAUGCGUGAUUUAUGAAUUAAAAAUUUAUAUUUCGGUAUAUUUUCAAACUAAUAAUUAUAAAUACAUAUUCAUGGAUAACUUUUUUAUAAAUGCCCUUCGGGAAUAUUCGGAUAUAUAUAUAUGAAUAAAUUUGUUUGUGAAUAAAUUGAUUGCCCUUCGGGAAUAUUCGGAUAUAUAUAUGAAUAAAUUUGUUUGUGAAUAAAUUGAUAUUAAUAUAUCAAGUUUAUACUCUUUAUUUUAUUUCAAUUUUUGGAUAUCAUUUUAUUUCAAUUUUUG